rnacentral:lncRNA from 1 species
UCUGGUAGGGAGCUCCCCCAGCACCGAAGACUGCGAUGACUUCUGCGCUGACCCAGGGGCUGGAGCGAAUCCCAGACCAGCUCGGCUACCUGGUACUGAGUGAAGGUGCAGUGCUGGCGUCAUCUGGGGACCUGGAGAAUGAUGAGCAGGCAGCCAGUGCCAUCUCUGAGCUGGUCAGCACAGCCUGCGGUUUCCGGCUGCACCGCGGCAUGAAUGUGCCCUUCAAGCGCCUGUCUGCUUUUUAUUUCAUCCCCAAAAUCUAAGGGUCCUGCCUCCGUCCACCCCAGCAUUCUGCAUCACUCAGCACUCAGCCCAGACCCUCCCCAGCCCACCUCGAAGAGCCCCGUCCUCAGAGCCUGGAAGGCCACACUGAAGCUGAAACAGGAAGUUGUGUUCCUCCAGGGCAUUCAGCGGGCAGGGGAAGCAGCCAGAGGUCCCGGGUAGGCGGCAGAAGGAGCCCAUGGAGAC